UCUCUGCAUGAGGAAUGUUUGGGGUCCGGUAAGAGUGACCUCAUUGGGAAGGGGCUGCAGCUCUAGUUCUUUACUGGCAGGGAAGCAGAGGCCUGGGGAACCAGACAGCAGCAUGUUUUGAUACUGAGCUUUGGAGCAAGGAAAUAAUUAUGACUUUAUCACUGCAACUGUUAGUUGGCUCUUGCUGUAAUUGAUGGACACUGCCAGUUGCUUAGACAGAUGGGAAUUAAUACUGGUGUUCCCAUUAGAGCUCACCAUCACAGUCACGCUGGCUUUGCACUGGGUUGAUGCGUGCAAGAGAGUGCGUGUGGAAGGAGCAAGCGUGGUUCCUGCCUGCAGUACUUGCCUUCCAGGGCCUUGGAGCCAUCCAUCCAACACAGAGCAGAUGAGCUGCUUGCCAGCAGUUUGCAGAACACAUGGCUUUGAGGUGGUGUGGAGAAUUCAGCUUCUUUCCUGGUUGCUGAGAGUUUGCGGUGAGUGGGACUCUCAUCCCCGGAGGCGUUUAUGAGCUGUACUUACAGUGCCUUGUGGCCCAGCUUUCCUCUGGAUCUCUGGUGACCCAGCACAGCCACAGCGGACCUGACAGGUGACAACCGUGAAGCACAGCAGGAGGUGAAGGCUAAGAUGCAAACACUGUGAUCCCAAGUGAGUUCAAGGACAUCCACCUUUCUUCUGAUGGCUGGAGCAGGACAGCGAUCCUGUGUGAGCAGCGUUGGAUUGAAGAAUUUAAGCCUCAGAGAGCUCGUGCUUGAGGGAACUGCCAUCUCCAAAACAUACCAACCUCCAUCCUCUUAAUUCCCCCAACUCCUCGUCCACCGUAGUAGGAAGCAUCCACCGUGGGCCACUUCUUGGAAGGCAAGGGCUCCGGUUCUUCUUCCUUUACUGAUGUAUGAGCAAAGGAAUCCUGUUGGGAGCAGUGUGUGGUGAUGGGCAAAAGAGAUUCUCUCUGUGCUCCACGCCCAGUGGAAAAGCUGCUCUCCAGUCACACUUGAGGUGCAAGUGGGACGCUCAGGCCUCUGCUUGAACAGGCUGUGUGCCCGGAUGAGCAAGAGCUGAGAGCCUCCACUCCUCACUCAGGUGCCAGAGUUACAGAGCAUUGGCACCUCUGCAGGACUGUAACCUCUCUCCACACACAGGCUGAAGGGCCAGGCUUGUGCCCAUCUGCUCCCUGCAGUCCUACAAUGGGAAGAGCUGUGCCAAAUGGGCCCCAGCUGAUUGUCACGCCUGGCCCUCAGGACAGGUCUGUGAGGGCAGGGAAGCCUCCCAGUACUUGGAAAGACACAGCUUUGCACAGCAAAGUGGAAGCAGAGGUUUUGUACUCCGAGGUCUUGCAAUGGCAAAGUCCAAAAAGAAACGGGGUGUGGAGAUUUUACAAGGGGUUACAGA